CACAGGUGUUGAUUCUAAGGAUACCCCCAAUAAACAUCUUUCGUGCUAAAGCCCAUUCCAGAAUUUACUUCCCAGCUAUCUUUGAUGUUCAUAUUGUCAGAGGUGGUGGCCGCUGAAACAGGCAAAGACAUGGAGCAUAUCUUGGGUCCAGGACCUUGGGAGUCCAGAGGAAGGUCUUUUUACCAUCAGCAUUCUCUACUGUGUUCAAUGACUGUCAGCCAAAGAUGGCCAGCCUGCACCUACAGAUCUACACACAUGCCCAUGCACAUGCAGGAAGUGUUCAUCUAAGACUGGACCUUUUAGAAGAAAGCUGGCAUACAUUCGUGAAGGCAUGGGCUUCCAGGCAUGUCAUCUUCACUCACGAAGCACACACAAGACCGCCAAGCAUUAAGAUUCUCCUGUGGAGCCAGGCUACAAUCCUUUAAAUGAAGACAGACAGCUAGGUGGCUGCAGCCCAGCGCUACACCUCACCCCUCCCUCAGUGUCAUGCAGAAAAAAUGUAUUCAGAACUCAGAAGUGAAGUUGUGCAAAUCCAUCAUUGACACUAGCUUCAAGGUUACCUCGGGGGAGCAGAAUGUACCCCUGCCAGAGAGCUGGAUAGAUGAUGAUGGGGACAGAAAUUCUGGGGGAGUUGUAAAUGGCAGCCACUGCCUCUAUAGGAAACCCAAAGGGAACACAGCAGAAGAGGAGGUGGUGGAGGAGCCACUGCCCUCUCGAAGGGUUCAAUGUCAUUCUGCAGACACAACCAAAUAACUUUUUCUUCCCUGCUGCUCCUCCAUUUGAAAUGACAGCCCCGAGCUCGCUUUUUCCUUGAUUGUGUAACUCUGAUUACAGACAAGGCCAAGGCAAUCCCAGGGCAUUACUACAAAGCUAAGGGGUCCCCAAAGAACUAAAGAGUCAGCUCCACAAAAAUCCCGAUUCCUAGCAUGAAACUGAAAUAUGAAACCAAACGGGCAUAGAAAAGGUAUGUGCAUUCGAAUCACAUAGCAGUGACUGGAGUCCUGAGCUGUGUCUGAAGACUGUGAGAUCACGUUUGGAGCUGCUGAUUGGUUUUCAGUGAUGGCCCUGUUGCACAGUGCCGUGAGACUUAGCUCCAUGGCCAAAGACGAUGGUAUCCCCUAGGAGCCCUGUGAGGUUGCUGCUGUUCUCUUAAGACACCAGGUAGCCAUCUGAUCCUCCCUGAGCAAACUAACUGGGCAGACAGGUUUAUUAAACCUCUGUUGGUCCGACUUACAUGAAACAAGAGAGUUAUUUUGUUGUUGUUGUUUUGUUUUGUUUUAAAUUAAACCUGUCUUUGGAGCCUCCUGCUCUUAGUUUACAAGUCUUCUUUGCACACUCUAAUAUUUUAAGAAGCAGCAAACAUUAACUGAGGGUCUA
rnacentral:lncRNA from 10 species